AUUUGGUGUUGGGGGCAUUUGAUGCACAACUUCUUGAAUCGCUUCCAGUACUCAUAAAACGACUCCCUCGGAUGCUGCUUGAUACCACAAAUUUCUUUCCUUAAACU